rnacentral:lncRNA from 1 species
CACUAGUUGUAGAGAAUUACAAACAUACAUCAUAUCAUCAAUCCCACUCAACAAUCAAUACUCAUAAGACACUCUCAAUCUCCUCUAGUCCUAUGAAGUAUUCUCUACCCAAACAAACACAAACUCAAACUCUUGUGCACCUUUUCAACACAACCAAACACAUACCCAUAUGUUCCCAUACAUCAUACCUAUGUGGAUCCUCUCAGUCUCCUCUAGUCCACUCACAAAUAAACAUAUACACC